GACGAACGCUGGCGGCGUGCUUAACACAUGCAAGUCGAACGGAAAGGCCCUGCUUUUGUGGGGUGCUCGAGUGGCGAACGGGUGAGUAACACGUGAGUAACCUGCCCUUGACUUUGGGAUAACUUCAGGAAACUGGGGCUAAUACCGGAUAGGAGCUCCUGCUGCAUGGUGGGGGUUGGAAAGUUUCGGCGGUUGGGGAUGGACUCGCGGCUUAUCAGCUUGUUGGUGGGGUAGUGGCUUACCAAGGCUUUGACGGGUAGCCGGCCUGAGAGGGUGACCGGCAACAUGGGGACAGUGAUACGGGACGGACUGCUACGGGAGGCAGCAGGGGGGAAUAGAGCCCGAAGGGCGGAAGCCUGAUGCAGGAACGCGGCGUGAGGGAUGACGGACUUCGGGUAGUAGGGCGCAAUCGCCUGUAACGAAGCGUGCGUGACGGUAAUGUAUAAAGAAGCACCGGCUAACUACGUG
rnacentral:rRNA from 1 species